GACGAACGCUGGCGGCGUGCUUAACACAUGCAAGUCGAACGCUGAAGACCUGGCUUUUGUUGGGUUGGAUGAGUGGCGAACGGGUGAGUAACACGUGAGUAACCUGCCCUCUUCUUUGGGAUAACGCCCGGAAACGGGUGCUAAUACUGGAUAUUCACUGGCCUUCGCAUGGGGGUUGGUGGAAAGGUUUGUUCUGGUGGGGGAUGGGCUCGCGGCCUAUCAGCUUGUUGGUGGGGUGAUGGCCUACCAAGGCUUUGACGGGUAGCCGGCCUGAGAGGGUGACCGGUCACAUUGGGACUGAGAUACGGCCCAGACGCCGACGGGAGGCAGCAGUGGGGAAUAUUGCACAAUGGGCGAAAGCCUGAUGCAGCGACGCCGCGUGAGGGAUGGAGGCCUUCGGGUUGUAAACCUCUUUCGCUCAUGGUCAAGCCGCAACUGUGGGUUGUGGUGAGGGUAGUGGGUAAAGAAGCGCCGGCUAACUACGUG
rnacentral:rRNA from 1 species